rnacentral:tRNA from 1 species
GGGCGCGUAGCUCAGUUGGUAGAGCAAUCGACUUUUAAUCGAUCGGUCACAGGUUCGAAUCCUGUCGCGCCUACCA